GAUUAGUGGCGAACGGGUGAGUAACACGUGAGUAACCUGCCCCUCACUUCGGGAUAACCAUUGGAAACGGUGGCUAAUACUGGGUAUGACAUCUGGCCGCAUGGUCUGGGUGUGGAAAGCUUUUGUGGUGAGGGAUGGGCUCGCGGCCUAUCAGCUUGUUGGUGGGGUGAUGGCCUACCAAGGCGACGACGGGUAGCCGGCCUGAGAGGGCGACCGGCCACACUGGGACUGAGACACGGCCCAGACUCCUACGGGAGGCAGCAGUGGGGAAUAUUGCACAAUGGGCGAAAGCCUGAUGCAGCGACGCCGCGUGGGGGAUGAAGGCCUUCGGGUUGUAAACCCCUUUCAGUAGGGAAGAAGCGCAAGUGACGGUACCUGCAGAAGAAGCGCCGGCUAACUACGUGCCAGCAGCCGCGGUAAUACGUAGGGCGCAAGCGUUGUCCGGAAUUAUUGGGCGUAAAGAGCUCGUAGGCGG
rnacentral:rRNA from 2 species